UUCUUUCAGGGGAGAUAAGCUCGGAAGCAUAAAGCGAGCUCUGUCUGAGAUCGCCUCCCCCCGUUUUGUUUGUUCCCUGGCCCAGCGUGUACAGAAGCUCAAAGACAAAAGCUCCACUUAUGAAACCGGAGCACUGAAUUUUGUUUGUCUCAAGCUCUGUGUGUCUGUAAUUCACGACUUUGCUGCAUCCUCAGAUUUGCACAAGGGAAUAUUUUCUGUGACACACAGUUUUCAGCCUUAUGCCAGAAAUUCCUUUUCCCAUCUUUUGCCUUAGCUAUUGCCAGAGAUGUGUUUCCUCUCGGAGCAAAAAGAAAUGACACUGAGAUGGUUUUCCCAGUUUACCAGUGUGAAGAUAAAGAACAGGCUCAUGGAGUCUGCUGCCUCAACAUUCCGGAAAUUAAAUCCUCUGUAAAGAGAGCAUGCAACCUUCUCCUGGUAAAUGAACUUGGACACACAGACUUCACCCCCAGUUAAUAAAGCAGGAACUGCAUGUACAAGCAGUUCCAAGUAAGUCCGAGGUGGAUCUAGCUUCACUGUCUCUGACUAUAUCUGGUGGGCAAAAGAAGAGAGAGGAAGAAAGAGAAAAAAAUUUCCAGUGACAAGGUAGAAGUACUUGUGGACUGGUAUUCAAGGAACUGAUUCCUGCCUUUUAUGUUUCGCAAAAUUUGCACUUCAGAAGUGUUUGUCUGCAGUAUUUAUUACAUAUUGGUACCUGGAAAAUAAAUUUCUGAAAAAAAAUUCCCUAAAUUUCCAAGUGUCUAAGCCUAGCUUCUGUACUAUUAACUCUAUUAUCUUAGAAAUUGUUUAUGUUAAUUGAAUAAUUUGAAAUCUUAAUCUUUCUCCUGUGUUUUUCAAGAGGCAAAGUUCAUAAUUUGUAGAAUCACUUAAGAAAAUACUUUAAUUCAAGAUAACUUUAUUUCUUUUAGAUGCUUUGGCUUUUGGUGUUAUUUUUUCUUGUCAAGGUUUCUAUUGUUUGUUGGACAAACCCUUUAUUGGACUAUUUCCAAAAUCAGAGGAGUAAAUUCAUUGGUUUCAUAUUCCAGUGAAUUUUUAAAUAUUUGUCUUUAAAUCAGCAUUUGUUGAAAAGUAUAGUUAUUUUAUUUGUUUGGCUUUCGUUUAUAUUCUUAUUAUAAUGCAGAAAUGGGUAAAAGAAAUAUGGCCUACAUGAGAGAAACAUAGAGACAGUAAGAAAUAUUUCUGGCACAUGGAACUUAUAAGAUAUGAACCUCAAAAAUUUACUUCUAAAAAAUAAACCCAGAUAUCCUAUGGUUAAACAUUUAUUUGAAGUGAAUCUUUAAAAAUACCAAAGGUCUGUCUUCAUAAGUGAACAUGUUUAGCAUGACUAAAAAAUUUAUAAAGUAAGAAAGAAAAGGUUUGUCUGAGACUUGAGUUGAUUAAACAGUGCAGAAAUGCACUUUUUGGGGGGGAAGACAUGAUGUUUUUACUAGUCUGUCAUGUAUUAACACCCAAGUACAUUUUAAUGUUGAAGGAAAAUAUGGCACUGUGAUUUUUUUGUUCAAUGUGAUCAUCAAAACAUCAUUUUUGGUAACUGACAGGGAAGAAAAGCAGAUGACUAAAUGAAAUUACAUAGUCUUAAUUUUUAUUGCCUGAAUCUCUUUCUGUAUUUGAUAUUGGUAAAUAUAUUACAUUGGUACAUUUUGCAGUUAAAUAAACAGUCAAACAAAGCCCUUGAGGGCUUAUUUAAAUAGAAAUAUGUGAUGUGGAUUUAGUAGAGUAGAAAUCCAAGGUCUGUGUAAUUUAGAACCUUGUGUAAUUUUCCCAUCGGUAAAUCACACGUGGUCUCCCUCACAGCAGUGACCUUAGAUUUUGAUAUGGCAGUAACUGUAGGCCUAAAUCAUAAUAAACUCCAUGCUACAUCAAUUCUAGGAAAUAAAAUUUCACAGUCUUCACUAACUCCAUCAUAAACUCAUUUUUCCAGUAUUCAUUACAUUAACAAGUCAUCAACUGAGUCUAUUUGCCAUCUGAUGCAAUACAUUACUAUUAAUAUAUGAAAGUCAAUUGCCAUAUGAAUUACACACUAGAAGGCUGGGUUUUUUCAUAUUUUUGAGAAUUUCUUUAGUGGGUGCUUCUCUUUAUUAUACUCUUUGUUCAUACAUAUUGAAGGGAUUAGGAAUUCUGGCUGUCAUCUGGACACCUUAAUGGGUGCUCAGAAGUUGUACAGUCAGAUUCUUCAUUUCCUAAUUGAUUUUUGUAUUGUUAACUAGAAACAAACUGCAGGAUUAACUGGUUUCUUAGCCAGUAACCCUCUGCACAUAAAAAGUAUGACAGCUCCCUCUUCACCAGGUGCCAAUAGAGGAGCCAAGUUGCAACAACUGAUAGGCAGCAAAGGCAUGAGCAUGGGAAGUCUUCAGGAAAAGAUACACUGAAGUAGCAUUGCCAGCAAUAAAAUGUCCACAUAGAUAUAUGCAAAUCAUACUGCCCAGUGCCAAGCCUUGCUCCAAAAAUUACUGUACAAAAGUCAGCCUAUCAAGCUACAUUGUUCCACAAGUUAGAGCAAAACUAAGCAAGGAGAAAAACAGCUUUUCUGCUCCAGGAUGUGACAUAGCAGACAGUGCUUCUCAUAAGUUCAUCUGUAGUUCUCUCCUUAAAAGCACACUAAGGUUUUGCAUCACCUUGGUAACUGUAGAUCUUGGAGCCAAUAUUUUAAAUACCAUAAAGACAAUGGCAGUGUGCCUUCCUGCUAUGAAACUCCCAGCAAGUUGACCUGGUCCAGGAUUCCAUUCCAGAAGAUGAUUUCACAACAUUGAAUUCAAUCAAGAUUUUUACUCACAGGUUUUUUCAACAGAUUUCAAUGUUAGGUAUUUGUUGGAACCUGGUACCUAUUUUGAUAUUUUCCCUGAAAAUUUAGAAUGGUCAUAUUCCUCAAAGGAUGGAAAAUGCAGUAGUCAGACAUAACCAGUUAGUAUCAAAAGAAAUACAAAACUAUGUAUUAUUUCCUUGUUUUGAAUAUUUUGUAUAUAAUACUCAGAGGUUUUCCUUUUGGUUUUCUUUUUUUUUUUUUUUUAAUUUGCAUUUAACAAGGCUGUUUAAGUCAAAGGAAUAGUCAUGUGCUUGUUCUUAAUGGCAGUAGA